UACGUAGGGGGCUAGCGUUAUCCGGAAUUACUGGGCGUAAAGGGUGCGUAGGUGGUUUCUUAAGUCAGAGGUGAAAGGCUACGGCUCAACCGCAGUAAGCCUUUGAAACUGGGGAACUUGAGUGCAGGAGAGGAGAGUGGAAUUCCUAGUGUAGCGGUGAAAUGCGUAGAUAUUAGGAGGAACACCAGUUGCGAAGGCGGCUCUCUGGACUGUAACUGACACUGAGGCACGAAAGCGUGGGGAGCAAACAGG
rnacentral:rRNA from 1 species